rnacentral:rRNA from 1 species
CGGAGAUAGCUGGUUCUCCUCGAAAUAGCUUUAGGGCUAGCCUCGAGCUGGAGUCUAACGGAGGUAAAGCACUGAACUGACGCGGGGCCCAAAAAGGUUACCAACUCAUAUCAAACUAAGAAUGCCGUCAAGAUACCCUCGGGAGUCAGUCUGCGUGAGAUAAGUCGCGUGGACAAAAGGGAAAGAGCCCAGACCGACAGCUAAGGUCCCAAAGUACGUGUUAAGUGGAAAAGGAUGUGGGAUUUCAUAGACAACUAGGAUGUUGGCUUAGAAGCAGCCAUACAUUUAAAGAGUGCGUAAUAGCUCACUAGUCGAGAAAACCUGCGCCGAAAAUGUAACGGGGCUAAAACACGACACCGAAGCUACGGAUUUCCUACAAGGUAGGAAGUGGUAGAGGAGCAUCCUGCAAGGACGAAGCCAAAGUGAGAGCGAUGGUGGACGAAACAGGAGAGAGAAUGCCGGAAUGAGUAGCGAGAUACAUGUGAGAAACAUGUAGGCCGAAUAUCUAAGGAUUCCUGGGUAAAGCUAAUCUUCCCAGGGUUAGUCGGGGCCUAAGGCGAGGACGAAAGUCGUAGUCGAUGGAUAACAGGUUGAUAUUCCUGUACUACACAUAAUCAGAACUGUGGGGACGCAGGAGGAUAGGGAAACCGGGGAAUGGAAAGACCCGGUCAAGCGUAAAGCUGUGGGAGAUAGGCAAAUCCGUCUCCUGUAAGUGAAACGUGAUGAGGACUGAAAAAAAGUAAGGAAGUUUCCGAAUCCACACUGCCGAGAAAAGCCGCUAUUGCGUUAUGUGUACCCGUACCGUAAACCGACACAGGUAGAUGAGGAGAAAAUCCACAGGCCGACGGGAGAAGUGUUGUUAAGGAACUCGGCAAAAUGACCCCGUAACUUCGGGAUAAGGGGAGCCUCGCAAGAGGCCGCAGAAAAGAGGCACAAGCAACUGUUUAGCAAAAACAUAGGUCUAUGCGAAACCGUAAGGUGAAGUAUAUGGGCUGACGCCUGCCCGGUGCUGGAAGGUUAAAAGGAGAGGUCAGCGCAAGCGAAGCUUUGAAUUCAAGCCCCAGUAAACGGCGGCCGUAACUAUAACGGUCCUAAGGUAGCGAAAUUCCUUGUCAGGUAAGUUCUGACCCGCACGAAAGGCGUAAUGAUUUGUGCACUGUCUCGACAACACGCCCGGUGAAAUUGAAGAACCAGUGAAGAUACUGGUUACCCGCAACAGGACGGAAAGACCCCAUGGAGCUUUACUGCAGCCUGAUACUGGGAUUCGAUGAUAUAUGUACAGGAUAGGUGGGAGGCUAAGAAGCGAGAACGCUAGUUUUCGUGGAGCCGCCGGUGGGAUACCACUCUUAUGUCAUUGAAUUUCUAACCUGCAUCCGUAAUCCGGGUGAGGGACAAUGUCAGGCGGGCAGUUUGACUGGGGCGGUCGCCUCCUAAAAGGUAACGGAGGCGCUCGAAGGUCACCUCAGAAUGAUUGGAAACCAUUCAAAGAGUGUAAAGGCAAAAGGUGGCUUGACUGCGAGAGCGACGGCUCGAGCAGGUACGAAAGUAGGACUUAGUGAUCCGGUGGUAAUAAGUGGGAAUGCCAUCGCUCAACGGAUAAAAGCUACCCUGGGGAUAACAGGCUUAUCUCCCCCAAGAGUUCACAUCGACGGGGAGGUUUGGCACCUCGAUGUCGGCUCAUCGCAUCCUGGGGCUGAAGUAGGUCCCAAGGGUUGGGCUGUUCGCCCAUUAA